UAUGAGGAGGUGAUGAUGUUGAUAACAAGCACAUAUCCAAAUGUAAAAAGUGUAGAAAAACCUAACUCCUGAAUCUCCUCAUU